rnacentral:tRNA from 1 species
AAAGGGAGACCUAAUUCAGGUAUGGGACGAAAAAAAAGUAGUCCCUACCAAGAAUCAAUCCCAAAAGGUCGGAACGAGGUGUGUGGCUUUCAAACUAGGUUCUGGGUUCAUAAAAGACCUGAAUCAGGAACAAGGGCUAUUAGCUCAGGUGGUUAGAGCGCACCCCUGAUAAGGGUGAGGUCCCUGGUUCGAGUCCAGGAUGGCCCACCUGCACAGGUGGCAAAAACAAGAGAAACGAGGAAUCAGCACCUUAUCUUACUUACAUAGUAAGAGAGAAUGCUGGCUCUGAGUAAAGAGUCCAGAGGAACCUUGAAAACUGCAUAGAGCUAGGUGAAAAAGCCAAAAAAGAAGACCGCAAG